rnacentral:siRNA from 1 species
GUGCCGGUGGCUCAAUCUCUUGUG